rnacentral:lncRNA from 1 species
GCGCUAAACUUGCACUCCAGGUACUCUGUCUUAGAUCUGCUUAUUUUGAAACCUUUAGACUCGAGAGUCUGCCUCCAUACCUCUAACCUUUCAAUAACAUCGACCCUUGUCUCAUCUAUCAAUACUAUGUCAUCAACAAAUAGCAUACACCAAGGCUCAACGCCGAUCCUUGAUGGAGCCCCAUAACAACUGGAAAAUGGUCUGAUUCGCCACCCACCGUCCUAACCCUAGUCUUAGCUUACAUGUCCUUGAUUACUCUGAUGUAGGCUUCCGG